UAAUUCUGCAGAUAAAAGGUCCUUCAUUUCAGAGUUUACAAACACGAAUGCAACACCUGAAAAACAAAUCAAGCCAUCAAAGAAGUCUGGACCUGAAUCAGAAGUAAUUCAAUUGCAGCGA